rnacentral:rRNA from 1 species
UAAGCGGAGGAAAAGAAACUAACAAGGAUUCCCCUAGUAACUGCGAGUGAAGCGGGAAAAGCUCAAAUUUAAAAUCUGGUGGUCUUUGGCCAUNCGAGUUGUAAUCUAGAGAAGCGUCUUCCGCGCUGGACCGUGCACAAGUCUCCUGGAACGGAGCGUCGUAGAGGGUGAGAAUCCCGUCUUUGGCAUGGACACACCAGGGCUUUUGUGAUGCGCUCUCGAAGAGUCGAGUUGUUUGGGAAUGCAGCUCAAAAUGGGUGGUGAACUCCAUCUAAAGCUAAAUAUUGGCGAGAGACCGAUAGCGAACAAGUACCGUGAGGGAAUGAUGAAAAGCACUUUGGAAAGAGAGUGAAACAGUACGUGAAAUUGUUGAAAGGGAAACGCUUGAAGUCAGUCGCGUCGACCGAGACUCAGCCUCGCCUCGGCUUGGUGUACUUCUCGGCCCGACGGGUCAGCAUCAAUUUCGCCUCUUGGAUAAUGGCGAGGGAAACGCGACACCUUUACGGUGUGUUAUAGUCUCUCGUCGCAUGCAAGGGUCGGGAUUGAGGAACUCAGCACGCGCCUUUGGGCGUCGGGGCUUUGCCUACGAUACGUGCUUAGGAUGUUGGCGUAAUGGCUUUAAACGACC